UAACAAAACUCUAAGAGUUUCUGGACAACUGUAAAAAUGACCAGUGAUGUGGAAUUCAUGGUCACAUCAUAAGAACCGAGAUACUGCUUGUGAUAUCUGGAAAACAAUUGAAAUCAACAGGAACAUGAAGUUUUCUGUUCAAGAACUGAAAAGACAAGACCUUUUCAUGGUGUCCUUUAGAAAAGGCUCAUCUGAAAAGUGGAGGUCAAGAAAUUUGAAGACAGCACUUAUAAUGAUGACGAGAGUGCAUUUGCUGUCAUACCACAGACUGGAGGACUUGAACAGACUGAUGCUGAAAAUGGAGCAUUUGGGUUACCCUCAGGCAGUUCAGCUACCUUAAAAAGGAAACUUAAUGAGACAGAGGACUGCAAAGUGAAAAUGAAUCAGGCAUUUUCUUUACUUACAAGUAGUGGCAGAAAGACCCUAAAAGGAAAAGGAGAUACAUGUACAUUUUUUGGGAAUUUUGUGGGAGCCAAACUUCAGGUGAUGGGUGAGGACUUUUUUUUGUAAAGGGCAGUUGCUGUGUAGUGUAUAAAUUACUCUUUUUUUAUACGUUAGGAUGGUGUCUGCAAAG